rnacentral:rRNA from 1 species
UACGUAGGGUCCGAGCGUUGUCCGGAAUUACUGGGCGUAAAGAGCUCGUAGGUGGUUUGUCGCGUUGUUCGUGAAAACUCACAGCUUAACUGUGGGCGUGCGGGCGAUACGGGCAGACUAGAGUACUGGCAGGGGAGACUGGAAUUCCUGGUGUAGCGGUGGAAUGCGCAGAUAUCAGGAGGAACACCGAUGGCGAAGGCGGGUCUCUGGGGCAGUAACUGACGCUGAGGAGCGAAAGCGUGGGGAGCGAACAGG